rnacentral:lncRNA from 1 species
AUUCGAAUUCACUAAGAGCAAGCAUGAGGGAUAUGAGAGUGAACAUGGCUGCAGUUUUUCCUGCUUAAGCUUGCUUUGAUCCUUUUAAAUGACUGUACCAGGAGGAUUUCGCAGUUGUACAGAAACUGAUAUUUCUUCAAAAAUCUUUAUCAAUUCUACACUCACCCCACCGGCUGGUUCAGAGAGGCACUAUGAUGCUACCUUAUUGACACUGCUGGUCGUGGGAUCGUACAGCCUUUGUAUAAUUCCUUUGUUAGCCACGUUUACUGGGAAAAAAACUGGUAAUGCCGCUGUCAUCAAAUAUGAGGAGAAACCUCCAAAACCAGCAUUUCAGAAUGGUUCCUCAGGAUCCUUUUAUUUGAAGCCUUUGGUAUCCAGGGCUCAUGUUCACUUGAUGAAAACUCCUCCAAAAGGUCCUUCGAGAAAAAAUUUAUUUACAGCUCUUAAUGCAGAGAUGGGGUUUCACCGUGUUAGCCAGGAUGGUCUCGAUCUUCUGACCUCGUGAUCCGCCCGCCUCGGCCUCCGAAAGUGCUGGGAUUACAGGCGUGAGUCACUGCGCCCAGCUAUCUCAGAAUUCGUAACCUUUUGUAGGCUCUUAAAGCUAGGAAGACAGCCAUGCAGAAUGAUCUAAGUUCUAAAGAUCCCCAGGAUGCU